rnacentral:rRNA from 1 species
GAUGAACGCUGGCGGCGUGCUUAACACAUGCAAGUCGAACGAAGCACCUUGAUUUUUUUCUUCGGCUGAAGAGCUUGGUGACUGAGUGGCGGACGGGUGAGCAACGCGUGGGUAACCUGCCUCAUACAGGGGGAUAACAGAUAGAAAUGUCUGCUAUUAUCGCAUAUGAUGACAGCUCGGCAUGGUCCAGGGGUAAAAAGUCCGUUGGUAUGUGUUGGACUCGCGUCUGAUUAGGUAGUUGGGAGGGUAACGACAUACCAAGGCGAGGAUCAGUAGCCGAGAGGAGAGGGUGACCGGCCACAUUGGGGCUAAGACACAGCCCAAACUCCUACGGGAGGGAGGAGUGGGGAAUAUUGUACGAGGGGGGAAACCCUGAUGCAGCGACGCCGGGUAAGCGAUGAAGUAUGUCGGUAAGUAAAGCUCUAUCAGCAGGGAAGAAAAUGACGGUACCUGACUAAGAAGCACCGGCUAAAUACGUG